rnacentral:rRNA from 1 species
CCUACGGGCGGCAGCAGUGAGGAAUAUUGGUCAAUGGGCGCGAGCCUGACCCAGCCAAGUAGCGUGAAGGAUGACUGCCCUACGGGUUGUAAACUUCUUUUAUAAAGGAAUACAGUGGGGCGCGUGUACCUUUUUGUCUGUACUUUAUGAAUAAGAAUCGGCUAACUCCGUGCCAGCAGCCGCGGUAAUACGGAGGAUCCGAGCGUUAUCCGGAUGUGUUGGGUUUAAAGGGAGCGUAGAUGGGUUGUUAAGUAAGUUGUGAAAGUUUGCGGCUUAACCGUAAAAUUGCCAUGGAUACUGGCAGUCUUGAGUACAGUUGAGGGAGGCGGAAUUCGUGGUGUAGCGGUGAAAUGCUUAGAUAUCACGAAGAACUCCGAGUGCGAAGGCAGCUUACUAAACUGCCACUGACAUUGAUGCUCGAAAGUGUGGGUAUCAAACAGGAUUAGAGACCCUUGUAGUC